rnacentral:rRNA from 1 species
UACGUAGGGGGCAAGCGUUGUCCGGAUUUAUUGGGCGUAAAGAGCGUGUAGGCGGUUAUACAGGUCCGCUGUGAAAACUGGAGGCUUAACCUCCAGACGUCGGUGGAAACCGUAUGACUAGAGUCCGGAAGAGGAGAGUGGAAUUCCUGGUGUAGCGGUGAAAUGCGCAGAUAUCAGGAAGAACACCCGUGGCGAAGGCGGUUCUCUGGGACGGUACUGACGCUGAGACGCGAAAGCGUGGGGAGCGAACAGG